AUACGAAGGUCCCAAGCGUUAUUCGGAAUCACUGGGCGUAAAGAGUACGUAGGCGGUUUGGUAAGUCAGGUGUGAAAUCCCGGAGCUCAACUCCGGAACUGCAUCCGAUACUGCCAGACUUGAGUAAUGGAGAGGCGGGUGGAAUUCUCGGUGUAGCAGUGAAAUGCGUGGAUAUCGAGAGGAAGACCAAUGGCGAAGGCAGCCUGCUGGACAUUUACUGACGCUGAGGUACGAAGGCUAGGGGAGCGAAAGGGAUUAGAUACCCCAGUAGUCC
rnacentral:rRNA from 1 species